GGGUUGUGAGGUUAAGCGACUAAGCGUACACGGUGGAUGCCCUGGCAGUCAGAGGCGAUGAAGGACGUGCUAAUCUGCGAUAAGCGCCGGUAAGGUGAUAUGAACCGUUAUAACCGGCGAUUUCCGAAUGGGGAAACCCAGUGUGACUCGUCACACUAUCAUUAACUGAAUCCAUAGGUUAAUGAGGCGAACCGGGGGAACUGAAACAUCUAAGUACCCCGAGGAAAAGAAAUCAACCGAGAUUCCCCCAGUAGCGGCGAGCGAACGGGGAGGAGCCCAGAGCCUGAAUCAGC
rnacentral:rRNA from 1 species